UCGCAAACACACUCAAUUUUUUACAUUCUUUAUCUUUUUCAUUGUUUUCUUUUUUCACUCUGUUUUCAUUUUCUUUUACAAUUUUCCCACUUUUUUCUCAAUUUUCUUUUCUUUUUGAUUUUCACUCUUUUCUUUUUCUUUUCCUCUCGCUUGUUCUACAGAUUGUUUCAAUUUGAUUUGGUCUUCAUAAACUUGCUUCAGAGUCAAUGGGGCUAAAGUCACGUUUCUUCCUAUAUGCUUGAAGGUCUAUCGGUUAGAAUAUCCAUCGUCCAGAACUCGGG
rnacentral:lncRNA from 1 species